GGAGAGGUGUGAGAGCGGUUGAAUCAGCACGCCUCGAAAGCGUGUGAACCCUAACGGGUUCCGAGGGUUCGAAUCCCUCCCUCUCCGCAA
rnacentral:tRNA from 1 species